rnacentral:rRNA from 1 species
GAUGAACGCUGGCGGCGUGCCUAAUACAUGCAAGUCGAGCGAACGGACGAGAAGCUUGCUUCUCUGAUGUUAGCGGCGGACGGGUGAGUAACACGUGGAUAACCUACCUAUAAGACUGGGAUAACUUCGGGAAACCGGAGCUAAUACCGGAUGAUAUUUUGAACCGCAUGGUUCAAAAGUGAAAGACGGUCUUGCUGUCACUUAUAGAUGGAUCCGCGCUGCAUUAGCUAGUUGGUAAGGUAACGGCUUACCAAGGCAACGAUGCAUAGCCGACCUGAGGGGGUGAUCGGCCACACUGGAACUGAGACACGGUCCAGACUCCUAAGGGAGGCAGCAGUAGGGAAUCUUCCGCAAUGGGCGAAAGCCUGACGGAGCAACGCCGCGUGAGUGAUGAAGGUCUUCGGAUCGUAAAACUCUGUUAUUAGGGAAGAACAUAUGUGUAAGUAACUGUGCACAUCUUGACGGUACCUAAUCAGAAAGCCACGGCUAACUACGUG